GUGCUCACUUUGGCAACACACACACUAAAACUGGAACAAUGCAGAAAAGUUUAGCAUGGCCCCUAUGCAAGGAUGACAAGCAAGUUCAUGAAGCAUUCCAUAUUUUU